rnacentral:rRNA from 1 species
UACGUAGGUGGCAAGCGUUAUCCGGAUUUAUUGGGCGUAAAGGGAACGCAGGCGGUCUUUUAAGUCUGAUGUGAAAGCCUUCGGCUUAACCGGAGUAGUGCAUUGGAAACUGGGGGACUUGAGUGCAGAAGAGGAGAGUGGAACUCCAUGUGUAGCGGUGAAAUGCGUAGAUAUAUGGAAGAACACCAGUGGCGAAAGCGGCUCCCUGGUCUGUAACUGACGCUGAGGUUCGAAAGCGUGGGUAGCAAACAGG